UUAAGCGAACAAGCGUACACGGUGGAUGCCCUGGCAGUCAGAGGCGAUGAAGGACGUGCUAAUCUGCGAAAAGCGCCGGUAAGGUGAUAUGAACCGUUAUAACCGGCGAUGUCCGAAUGGGGAAACCCGGUGCACUUCGGUGCAUCAUCGUUAGCUGAAUACAUAGGCUAACGAGGCGAACCGGGGGAACUGAAACAUCUAAGUACCCCGAGGAAAAGAAAUCAACCGAGAUUCCCCCAGUAGCGGCGAGCGAACGGGGAACAGCCCAGAGCCUGAAUCAGCUUGUGUGUCAGUGGAACGGUCUGGAAAGGCCGGCGAUACAGGGUGACAGCCCCGUACACGAAGGCACACAGGCUGUGAGCUCGAUGAGUAGGGCGGGACACGUGAUAUCCUGUCUGAAGAUGGGGGGACCAUCCUCCAAGGCUAAAUACUCCUGACUGACCGAUAGUGAACCAGUACCGUGAGGGAAAGGCGAAAAGAACCCCGGCGAGGGGAGUGAAACAGAACCUGAAACCGUGUACGUACAAGCAGUGGGAGCCUUCGUAAGAGGGUGACUGCGUACCUUUUGUAUAAUGGGUCAGCGACUUAUAUUCUGUAGCAAGGUUAACCGUAUAGGGGAGCCGAAGGGAAACCGAGUCUUAAUUGGGCGUUAAGUUGCAGGGUAUAGACCCGAAACCCGGUGAUCUAGCCAUGGGCAGGUUGAAGGUUGGGUAACACUAACUGGAGGACCGAACCGACUAAUGUUGAAAAAUUAGCGGAUGACCUGUGGCUGGGGGUGAAAGGCCAAUCAAACCGGGAGAUAGCUGGUUCUCCCCGAAAGCUAUUUAGGUAGCGCCUCGUGAACUCAUCUCCGGGGGUAGAGCACUGUUUCGGCUAGGGGGCCAUCCCGGCUUACCAACCCGAUGCAAACUGCGAAUACCGGAGAAUGUUAUCACGGGAGACACACGGCGGGUGCUAACGUCCGUCGUGAAGAGGGAAACAACCCAGACCGCCAGCUAAGGUCCCAAAGUCAUGGUUAAGUGGGAAACGAUGUGGGAAGGCCCAGACAGCCAGGAUGUUGGCUUAGAAGCAGCCAUCAUUUAAAGAAAGCGUAAUAGCUCACUGGUCGAGUCGGCCUGCGCGGAAGAUGUAACGGGGCUAAACCAUGCACCGAAGCUGCGGCAGCGACACUAUGUGUUGUUGGGUAGGGGAGCGUUCUGUAAGCCUGCGAAGGUGUGCUGUGAGGCAUGCUGGAGGUAUCAGAAGUGCGAAUGCUGACAUAAGUAACGAUAAAGCGGGUGAAAAGCCCGCUCGCCGGAAGACCAAGGGUUCCUGUCCAACGUUAAUCGGGGCAGGGUGAGUCGACCCCUAAGGCGAGGCCGAAAGGCGUAGUCGAUGGGAAACAGGUUAAUAUUCCUGUACUUGGUGUUACUGCGAAGGGGGACGGAGAAGGCUAUGUCGGCCGGGCGACGGUUGUCCCGGUUUAAGCGUGUAGGCUGACUUUCCAGGCAAAUCCGGAAGGUUAAGGCUGAGGCGUGAUGACGAGGCACCACGGUGCUGAAGUGACAAAUGCCCUGCUUCCAGGAAAAGCCUCUAAGCAUCAGGUAACAUCAAAUCGUACCCCAAACCGACACAGGUGGUCAGGUAGAGAAUACCAAGGCGCUUGAGAGAACUCGGGUGAAGGAACUAGGCAAAAUGGUGCCGUAACUUCGGGAGAAGGCACGCUGACAUGUAGGUGAAGCCCCUGCGGGUGGAGCUGAAGUCAGUCGAAGAUACCAGCUGGCUGCAACUGUUUAUUAAAAACACAGCACUGUGCAAACACGAAAGUGGACGUAUACGGUGUGACGCCUGCCCGGUGCCGGAAGGUUAAUUGAUGGGGUUAUCGCAAGAGAAGCUCCUGAUCGAAGCCCCGGUAAACGGCGGCCGUAACUAUAACGGUCCUAAGGUAGCGAAAUUCCUUGUCGGGUAAGUUCCGACCUGCACGAAUGGCGUAAUGAUGGCCAGGCUGUCUCCACCCGAGACUCAGUGAAAUUGAACUCGCUGUGAAGAUGCAGUGUACCCGCGGCAAGACGGAAAGACCCCGUGAACCUUUACUACAGCUUGACACUGAACAUUGAGCCUUGAUGUGUAGGAUAGGUGGGAGGCUUUGAAGCGUGGACGCCAGUCUGCGUGGAGCCAACCUUGAAAUACCACCCUUUAAUGUUUGAUGUUCUAACCUGGCGCCGUGAUCCGGCGUGGGGACAGUGUCUGGUGGGUAGUUUGACUGGGGCGGUCUCCUCCCAAAGUGUAACGGAGGAGCACGAAGGUCAGCUAAUCCUGGUCGGACAUCAGGAGGUUAGUGCAAUGGCAUAAGCUGGCUUGACUGCGAGAGUGACGGCUCGAGCAGGUGCGAAAGCAGGUCAUAGUGAUCCGGUGGUUCUGUAUGGAAGGGCCAUCGCUCAACGGAUAAAAGGUACUCCGGGGAUAACAGGCUGAUACCGCCCAAGAGUUCAUAUCGACGGCGGUGUUUGGCACCUCGAUGUCGGCUCAUCACAUCCUGGGGCUGAAGUAGGUCCCAAGGGUAUGGCUGUUCGCCAUUUAAAGUGGUACGCGAGCUGGGUUUAGAACGUCGUGAGACAGUUCGGUCCCUAUCUGCCGUGGGCGCUGGAGAAUUGAGGGGGGCUGCUCCCAGUACGAGAGGACCGGAGUGGACGCAUCAC
rnacentral:rRNA from 1 species